AGUUCACUUGAAUCGGAGCUAAGGAGGUUUCUUGGUCAGUGUCUGAAGCUCAAGUCGAUUCCCAGCUUCGGUAAUUUGUUAGUGAAGGUCGGAAUUUACUUGGUGCUGUCUGGAGGAAAAUAAUGAUAAGCAGGAUCUGAUACAUAUUAUCUUACAGUGGUACCCAGAAUUGAAGUAUCUUGCCCUAAAACUCAUAGGUCUGAAUGUUUCAUAUUCAAGAAUAACUUGUCAAUGUUGUUUCACAUUGUGAGGAAUAACCGCAUGUGCUUGUCAGGUUCAGUGAUGACUAUCGUCUUUCUUUCUUCUUCUCUUUCACCUCUUUGAUAGUUUAUUUUUGGUGGGGCUGGGGUUGUUUGGUUAUGAUGUAACAUGUACAUUAGAAAAUGUACUCAUAUAUUUGGCAGAGGUUGCGAUGAUUUUUUGCAGUCCAAUGACUAUGAAAAUGCUGAAAGUAUUGGAAAAAUUAUUUUGACAAAGAGUCUAUGGAGAAUGUAUUUUCUGGUUGAAUGGUGUUAUCAGAUGCAUCAGCCUGUCCUCCUUGGGGUGAAACUGGAGGGGGGAAAACAACUGUAUGUAGUUGCUCAGUAUCAUGAAGGAUUCCAAGUUACAUAUACUGAAUUGUCAUCAGUUGCAAGUUUGGUCUCCUGCUCUGGACAUGUAAUCUAGGUCUUUUGGUUUUCGGGCAAUAGAUGUUUUUGCAUCAUUCUCUACAUCAGCCUCAAAUCGGUUGAGAUUGCUAGUUUGUGGGGUGUUGUAGGGCCUGAGACUUUGUAUCCUGUU